rnacentral:piRNA from 1 species
UGAAAGCCCCACUAAGCUUGAAU